UACGUAGGGUGCAAGCGUUGUCCGGAAUCACUGGGCGUAAAGGGUGCGUAGGCGGGUCUUUAAGUCAGGGGUGAAAUCCUGGAGCUCAACUCCAGAACUGCCUUUGAUACUGAAGAUCUUGAGUUCGGGAGAGGUGAGUGGAACUGCGAGUGUAGAGGUGAAAUUCGUAGAUAUUCGCAAGAACACCAGUGGCGAAGGCGGCUCACUGGCCCGAUACUGACGCUGAGGCACGAAAGCGUGGGGAGCAAACGGG
rnacentral:rRNA from 1 species